GGUCAAGCAAUUAAGCGUACGUGGUGGAUGCCUUGGCAGCCAGAGGCGAUGAAGGACGUGGUAGGCAGCGAAAUGCUUCGGGGAGCCGUCAAACAGGCUUUGAUCCGGAGAUGUCCGAAUGGGGAAACCCGGCCCACUUGUGGGUCAUCCUUAACUGAAUCCAUAGGUUAAGGAAGCGAACGCGGGGAACUGAAACAUCUAAGUACCUGCAGGAAAAGAAAUCAAUUGAGAUUCCCUAAGUAGCGGUGAGCGAACGGGGAAAAGCCCUUAAGCAGUUUUAGUGUUAGUGGAACGGUCUGGAAAGUCCGGCGACAGUGGGUGAUAGCCCCGUACACGAAAGCACUGGGAUUGUGAAAACGAGUAGGUCGAAACACGUGUAAUUUUGACUGAAGAUGGGGGGACCAUCCUCCAAGGCUAAAUACUCCUGGCUGACCGAUAGUGAACUAGUACCGUGAGGGAAAGGCGAAAAGAACCCCGGAGAGGGGAGUGAAAUAGACCCUGAAACCGCGUACGUACAAGCAGUCGGAGCAGGCAUUGUGUCCUGUGACGGCGUACCUUUUGUAUAAUGGGUCAGCGAGUUAAUGUCAGUAGCAAGGUUAACCGUGUAGGGGAGCCGUAGGGAAACCGAGUCUUAACUGGGCGAAUGAGUUGCUGGCAUUAGACCCGAAACCGGGCGAUCUACCCAUGGGCAGGUUGAAGGUGCCGUAACAGGCACUGGAGGACCGAACCGGGAUCUGUUGAAAAAGAUUCGGAUGACCUGUGGGUCGGAGUGAAAGGCUAAUCAAGCCCGGAGAUAGCUGGUUCUCCUCGAAAGCUAUUUAGGUAGCGCCUCGUGGAAUUGACUGCUGGGGGUAGAGCACUGUGUCGGCUAGGGGGUCAUCCCGACUUACCAACCCGAUGCAAACUCCGAAUACCAGUAAGUUUUAUCACGGGAGACAGACGGCGGGUGCUAACGUCCGUCGUCAAGAGGGAAACAACCCAGACCGCCAGCUAAGGUCCCAAAUAUCAGUUAAGUGGGAAACGAUGUGGGAAGGCUCAGACAGCUAGGAGGUUGGCUUAGAAGCAGCCAUCCUUUAAAGAAAGCGUAAUAGCUCACUAGUCGAGUCGGCCUGCGCGGAAGAUAUAACGGGGCUCAAACUGAUAACCGAAGCUGCGGAUACGUGUUUACACGUAUGGUAGAGGAGCGUUGUGUAGGCCGUUGAAGGUGAAUCGAGAGGUUUGCUGGAGGUAUCACAAGUGCGAAUGCUGACAUGAGUAACGAUAAGGGGGGUGAAAAACCUCCCCGCCGGAAGAUCAAGGUUUCCUGUCCAACGUUAAUCGGGACAGGGUGAGUCGGCCCCUAAGGCGAGAGCGAGAGCUGUAGUCGAUGGGAAAUCGGUUAAAAUUCCGAUACCGGCUGUUACUGCGAUGGAGUGACGGAGAAGGCUAGGCCAGCGCGGCGUUGGUUGUCCGCGUUUAAGGUAGUAGGCUGAGGGUUUAGGUAAAUCCGGACCCUUAAGGCUGAGAGCUGAUGACGAUCCUGUUUUUAAACGGGAGAAGUGGUUGAUGCCCUGCUUCCAGGAAAAACUUCUAAGCUUCAGGUAACAGACGACCGUACUGUAAACCGACACAGGUGAUCAGGUAGAGAAUACCAAGGCGCUUGAGAGAACUUGGGUGAAGGAACUAGGCAAAAUGGUACCGUAACUUCGGGAGAAGGUACGCUCCUUUUGGUGAACUAUUUACUAGGUAAGCUGAGAGGAGUCGAAGUGACCAGGUGGCUGCAACUGUUUAUUAAAAACACAGCACUGUGCAAACACGUAAGUGGACGUAUACGGUGUGACGCCUGCCCGGUGCCGGAAGGUUAAUUGAUGGGGUUAGCGUAAGCGAAGCUCUUGAUCGAAGCCCCGGUAAACGGCGGCCGUAACUAUAACGGUCCUAAGGUAGCGAAAUUCCUUGUCGGGUAAGUUCCGACCUGCACGAAUGGCGUAAUGAUGGCCACGCUGUCUCCACCCAAGACUCAGUGAAAUUGAAAUCGCUGUUAAGAUGCAGUGUACCCGCGGCUAGACGGAAAGACCCCGUGAACCUUUACUAUAGCUUCACACUGGACUUUGACACUAUCUGUGUAGGAUAGGUGGGAGACUUUGAAGCAGGUGCGCCAGCACUUGUGGAGUCAUCCUUGAAAUACCACCCUGGUAUUGUUGAGGUUCUAACUCAGUGCCUGAAACGGGCACGAGGACCGUGUGUGGUGGGUAGUUUGACUGGGGCGGUCUCCUCCCAAAGUGUAACGGAGGAGCACGAAGGUACCCUAAGAGCGGUCGGAAAUCGCUCGUUUAGUGUAAUGGCAUAAGGGUGCUUGACUGCGAGAGCGACGGCUCGAGCAGGUACGAAAGUAGGUCAUAGUGAUCCGGUGGUUCUGAAUGGAAGGGCCAUCGCUCAACGGAUAAAAGGUACUCCGGGGAUAACAGGCUGAUACCGCCCAAGAGUUCACAUCGACGGCGGUGUUUGGCACCUCGAUGUCGGCUCAUCACAUCCUGGGGCUGAAGCCGGUCCCAAGGGUAUGGCUGUUCGCCAUUUAAAGUGGUACGCGAGCUGGGUUUAGAACGUCGUGAGACAGUUCGGUCCCUAUCUGCCGUGGGCGUUGGAGAUUUGAGAGGAGCUGCUCCUAGUACGAGAGGACCGGAGUGGACGAACCUCUGGUGUUCGGGUUGUCACGCCAGUGGCAUUGCCCGGUAGCUAUGUUCGGACAGGAUAACCGCUGAAAGCAUCUAAGCGGGAAGCCUCCCUCAAGACGAGAUCUCCCUGGGGCCUUGAGCCCCCUGAAGUGCCGUUCGAGACCAGGACGUUGAUAGGCUGGGUGUGUAAGCGUUGUGAGGCGUUGAGCUAACCAGUACUAAUUGCACGUGAGGCUUGACCAU
rfam:Pseudohongiella spirulinae strain KCTC 32221, complete genome.